rnacentral:rRNA from 1 species
UAAUACUCCAUAGAUCAUGGGAUCUGGAAUGACCCAUGGUUGAAAGUUCCGGCGCUUAAGGAUCGGUCUGCGGCCUAUCAGGUAGUAGUGGGUGUAACGGACCCACUAGCCGAUGACGGGUAUGGGCCUUGAGAGAGGGAGCCCAGAGAUGGAUUCUGAGACACGAAUCCAGGCCCUACGGGGCGCAGCAGUCGCGAAAACUUCACAAUGGAGGCAACUCCGAUGAGGGAAUUCCUAGUGCCAAUGCAUUUUGUGUUGGCUUUUCUUCAGCGUAGAUAACUGAUGGAAUAAGGGCUGGGUAAGACGGGUGCCAGCCGCCGCGGUAAUACCCGCAGCCCAAGUGGUGGUCGAUAUUAUUGAGUCUAAAACGUUCGUAGCCGGUUCAAUAAAUCUCUGGGUAAAUCGGAGGGCUCAACCUUCCGAAUUCCGGAGCGACUGUUGAACUUGGGACCGGGAGAGGCAAGAGGUACUUCUGGGGUAAGGGUAAAAUCCUGUAAUCCUAGAAGGACCACCGGUGGCGAAGGCGUCUUGCUAGAACGGAUCCGACGGUGAGGGACGAAGCCCUGGGUCGCAAACGGGAUUAGAUACCCCGGUAGUCCAGGGUGUAAACGCUGCAGACUUGGUGU